rnacentral:rRNA from 1 species
AGAAUCAACGCUGGCGGCGUGCCUAACACAUGCAAGUCGAACGCGAAAGCCCCGAAAGGGGCAAGUAGAGUGGCAAACGGGUGAGUAACACGUGGGUGACCUGCCUUCGAGCGGGGGAUAACGGUCCCGAAAGGGACGCUAAUACCGCAUAACAUCCUGCCUUUGAAGAGGUGGAGAUCAAAGCUGGGGAUCGCAAGACCCGGCACUUGAAGAGGGGCCCGCGUCUGAUUAGCUAGUUGGUGGGGUAAUGGCCUACCAAGGCAACGAUCAGUA